rnacentral:rRNA from 1 species
AACGAACGCUGGCGGCAUGCCUAACACAUGCAAGUCGAACGAGACCUUCGGGUCUAGUGGCGCACGGGUGCGUAACGCGUGGGAACCUGCCCUUAGGUUCGGAAUAACUCCCCGAAAGGGGUGCUAAUACCGGAUAAUGUCUUCGGACCAAAGAUUUAUCGCCUUUGGAUGGGCCCGCGUUGGAUUAGCUAGUUGGUAGGGUAAAAGCCUACCAAGGCGACGAUCCAUAGCUGGUCUGAGAGGAUGAUCAGCCACACUGGGACUGAGACACGGCCCAGACUCCCACGGGAGGGAGCAGGGGGGAAGUUGGGAAAAGGGGCGAAACCCUGACCCAGCAAGGCCGGGGGAGUGAUGAAGGCUUUAGGGUUGUAAAGCUCUUUUACCCGGGAUGAUAAUGACAGUACCGGGAGAAAAAGCCCCGGCUAACUCCGG